CUCCCUGUAGUUAAAUGGAUAUAACGGGAACCUCCUAAGUUUCUGUUGUGAGUUCGAUUCUCGCCGGGGAGGCCA
rnacentral:tRNA from 1 species